ACCGCUCAGUGGCUCGGACCG
rnacentral:miRNA from 1 species